AGUUUGCGCAGAGCAAGCGUCCAAAGGGUAUCCGUCCCCUGCGCAUCAUCUCCGUUCUUCUUAUGUUCCUUAACAUCGUCGGGAGCCUUCACCAUUUCAAACAUUAUCUUGAUCGUUUACAAGGAGAUGGCGAUAGAUUGGCGGCUCUACAUCCUAUCCUGUUCCUGAUCGCGUCCGCGUCCUUUUUCUACGAACACCAUUAUGCAACUGCGCAUCCAUCUUUCGUUCAUUGGUCACAGUGGAAAAAAAAAGAAAUGGAUUGGGAGUGGUUCAUUUGGACAGGUUUACCUCGCUUCUAACAGGCUAUGUGGGAUCUUUUGUGCGAUUAAGGAAAUACAAAUAGAUGCAUACUCAAAGGAACAGAUCAAGAAAUAAUAUUCGGAAGUAAAUUUUCUUAGUCAAUUCUCACACCCAAACAUUGUGCAAUACUAUGGAAGUAAAUUGGUAAGUUCAAUUUCAUAAGCAAAUGCAUUGCACUUGUCUCCGUGCAGCCAUGCAGUUCCCGUGCCUGUUUUUCCCUGUCAUGCAAUCUGUUCAAUGUAUACUGUUUGAUAGGAUCAUUUUUGUGAUCUGUUAAGGCCAUUUAUAUGUCCGGCACAUUGUUAACAGUUAACAAUAAAUCCAUAAAACAUAUAUAGCUGGUAUUAUAUAAAUGUGGAGUGGCAAAAUCCUGCCCUCCAAAGCAUGUAACUGCACACUGUGUGGACUUUGAUUCAACAAUUCGGAGGGUAUUAGCAUUUAGAAAUGAUAUUAUUUCCACUUGGGAGUUACAGAUAUAAGUAGAAUACUGUGAUAGUGCAACAUCUUUUGGUUGUACAGUAUAAUUCAUUAUACUUACAAUUGAAGUCCAGAGGGCAUGCAUGUAACAAAGAGGGUAAGCGGUGCUUCAAUGUUUGAUUAA